CAGAAAAACAAUGUGCUACUUUUCAAUUUAAUUCAUGGCUACACAAAUUUGCGUUGCCAUGAACAAAAUCUUGCCUUACACUGGACAAAGGAAGAACGCAUCCACAACAAGAGACAUCGCCUGGCUUCAGUCCCCCGCUGGACCAAGACGCCGGCUCCAGUGGCUUCGUCCCUACCGCACCGACGAAUCACACCUCCGCGUUUAAUCCUGCCGCCACCAAUGGCGAUGGCAUUUGCUUCCCCUGGCCUCGGCCCCGCGCUAGACCAGGACACCAGAACCACCAGUUUCGCAGCCGCUCGGCGACGGGGUCGCUGCCCGCACGGAGACGCGCGUAGGCACCCGAGGCCGCGGCUCCUGGACCAUCCUCCGUGGUGACGCCCCUGGCGCCCGACGCGGCCACCACAUCUAACGCGGAGUGACUUCGUCCAUGGACUCGCCUGUCGAGGGAAUUGUCGCGGCUUCCGGUCGGCGACGCCUGAAGUGGGCACGCCGCAGCGGCUUGUCCCUCCGGCAUCGGUGACUUGCUCCAUGCGCGUCAGCAAAGCAAGGCAAGGUGAGGCGGUGCAGUCUGGCGUGGCUCCUUCGGGCGCGCACGCUGCGGUGUCCUUCGGCCUCGGCAACAGGGGUCGGGGGAGCGGUUGCUCCAAGGGAGACGAAACCGUCUCCUCCUCCUGCCUUAUCCACUCCAGGUGGUGGUUGGCUGGGCCGCCUGUAAGGCCGCAUGGGCCAGCAGGCCCAUGUGUUUUCGGUCCAUUUUAAAUCCUGGACGAUUUUACC
rnacentral:rRNA from 1 species